GGGACACAGGACAUGGGAUGUGAUGGAAAGACUUGUUGGCAAGGGGGGAGGGACCACAAUAGACCGUCUUCGUCUAAGAUAGCAGAGCCUGCCAGCUCCUCUCAGGAAACAGAGAAGGGGAACCUAACUGCUGGUCUGAAAGGACACCCUGUGUGGGGGGUAGCCAUUUUCCCCCAUCAGGCACAACCCACUAACUCUUCAUGGCUCCUGAGGACCAGCUGCACCUGGGCUAGGGCAGGUAGAGCCUGCUGUCAGGAGGCUCUGCUUCCCGAAUGCCAGAAGGCAGGAUGAUCCUGUUGCGUCUGCAGGCAAGUGUCCGAUACAAAUGGAAUGCACAGAGAACUGGAUGGAAGACAGGCACAGGAAAAGCAGAGAGCAAGGGCCUGCUGAUGACACAACCAGAAUCCUCUCGUGAAGGGGACUGUGCUGAGGAGACACCCCUGCCCUGGGAUGGCAAGCACGCUGGUCCCAGGACCCAGCGGUGUCUUCACCAAGGAGGUGUGGACAAAGAGCCCUGCCUGGGACCCAGGGAAGCCAGAGCAACAUCUCACAGAAAGAGGACAGUAAUUCAUACUCUUCAGUCCCACCAUAGUCAGUUUCCAUACCCGUUUAAAAAAAAGAUUCUAAGUUUCCCCAAAUAAAGUUUGUGCUAUCCCUGCAG